UAGAAAAAACAUUUGCCAUGAAGGACUUUUCAGGCGUUUCAGAUACUGACAACUCAUCCAUGAAAUUGAACCAGGACGUACUAUUAGUUAAUGAAUCAAAAAAGGGAAUAUUAGAUGAAGAUAAUGAAAAAGAAAAAAGGGACUCUUUAGGCAAUGAAGAAACUGUUGAUAAAACAGCAUGGGAAUGUGUAAGGAGUCCAAGGGAGUCUUUGGAUGACCUGUUUCAAAUAUGUUCUCCAUGCGCCAUUGCAAGUGGUCUUCAGAACGACCUGGCUGAAUUGACAACAUUAUGUUUGGAGUUGAAUGUAUUGAAUUCUAAGAUCAAAAGCACCAGUGGACAUGUGGACCACACUUUGCAACAGUACUCUCCUGAAAUUCUGGCUUGCCAAUUCCUGAAGAAGUACUUUUUUCUCCUGGACUUGAAAAGAGUGAAGGAGAGUAUCAAGCUUAGUUACAGUAAUAGCCCUUCUGUUUGGGAUACUUUUAUUGAAGGAUUGAAAGAAAUGGCAAGUUCCAAUCCUGUGUAUAUGGAGAUGGAAAAAGGAGAUCUACCAACAAAGUUAAAGUUACUAGAUGACAAGGUUCCUUUUGAUAGUCCGUUGUUGGUUGUUUAUGCUACCCGGUUGUAUGAAAAGUUUGGGGAAUCUGCUCUUCGAUCCUUAAUCAAGUUCUAUCCAUCCAUUUUGCCAUCGGAUAUCAUACAACUUUGUUAUCAUCAUCCUGCUGAGUUUUUGGCCUAUUUAGACAGUCUGGUGAAAUCAAGACCUGAAGAUCAGCGGUCAUCUUUUCUUGAGUCCCUUCUGCAACCAGAGUCUUUAAGGUUGGAUUGGCUGCUUUUGGCAGUGUCCCUUGAUGCUCCACCAAGCACCAGCACAAUGGAUGAUGAAGGUUAUCCCAGGCCUCAUUCACACUUGCUUUCUUGGGGUUACAGUCAGCUGAUCCUUCAUCUAAUUAAACUUCCCGCAGAUUUUAUAACCAAAGAGAAAAUGACAGACAUCUGCAGGUCUUGUGGUUUCUGGCCUGGAUAUCUAAUUCUCUGUUUGGAGCUGGAGAGAAGAAGAGAGGCCUUCAUCAAUAUUGUGUAUCUGAAUGAUAUGAGCCUGAUGGAAGGGGACAAUGGU
rnacentral:sRNA from 1 species